GACGAACGCUGGCGGCGUGCUUAACACAUGCAAGUCGAGGGCGGGGAGCAAUCCCCGACCGGCGAACGGGUGCGUAACACGUGAGCGACCUACCUCCCCGCGGGGGAUAGCCGGCCCAAC
rnacentral:rRNA from 1 species